rnacentral:lncRNA from 1 species
CCCACCCCACCUCAGGCCUCUUGGCUAUGCAGCUACUUGGUUCAAUACUACAGAGGCACAGGGGGACAUGAAGGCCAUUGUCUUGAGAUGCAGAAGUGAACAAAAGAGAGAAGGUGUCUCUCAGACUCCCUGAUGAAAACUGAAGCCCACUGGAAAAGUGAAGAGAAUCUCUAGAAUAAAGGCAAACCAGACCACCGUGCUUGAUUCCCAUAGAAAAAUGAAGGAUAGAGUAUGCUUCUCAUAGGGGGAAGAAAAAGACUUUUCUACCUUCUUAGUCUAAAUUUUCCAGAGACACAAAAGAGGAGUUCCAGAACAGGUUCAGAAAACAGCAAAAAAAUGAUGGGAUAAGCAAGUGUGAAGGAAGGGGGAGGGUUCUAAGGGGAUCCAACUCAGGACCUUGCGCUUGCGAGGAAGGCGGCAGAACCACUGAGCUACACCCCCAGCCCUGUGAUAUAUCUUUUAAACAUUCAUUGUACCAUUUGAUAACACCUCAUAUGCAGCAUUGUUACCUUAAUUUGUAUAUUAACCAGUGUUAAUAAACAGUAUGAGUUCAUACCCUUUUUC